rnacentral:rRNA from 1 species
UACGAAGGGUGCAAACGUUGCUCGGAAUUAUUGGGCGUAAAGCGCACGUAGGCGGCUUUGCAAGUCCCAUGUGAAAUCCCACGGCUUAACCGUGGAAGUGCAUGGGAAACUGCAGAGCUUGAGUACUUAAGAGGAUCGCGGAAUUCCCGGUGUAGAGGUGAAAUUCGUAGAUAUCUGGAGGAACACCGGUGGCGAAGGCGGCAUCCUGGACCAGCACUGACACUGAGGAGCGAAAGCCAGGGGAGCAAACGGG